rnacentral:rRNA from 1 species
GAUGAACGCUGGCGGCGUGCCUAAUACAUGCAAGUCGAGCGAACAGACGAGGAGCUUGCUCCUCUGACGUUAGCGGCGGACGGGUGAGUAACACGUGGAUAACCUACCUAUAAGACUGGGAUAACUUCGGGAAACCGGAGCUAAUACCGGAUAACAUGUUGAACCGCAUGGUUCAACAGUGAAAGACGGUCUUGCUGUCACUUAUAGAUGGAUCCGCGCCGCAUUAGCUAGUUGGUAAGGUAACGGCUUACCAAGGCAACGAUGCGUAGCCGACCUGAGAGGGUGAUCGGCCACACUGGAACUGAGACACGGUCCAGACUCCUACGGGAGGCAGCAGUAGGGAAUCUUCCGCAAUGGGCGAAAGCCUGACGGAGCAACGCCGCGUGAGUGAAGAAGGUCUUCGGAUCGUAAAACUCUGUUAUUAGGGAAGAACAAAUGUGUAAGUAACUAUGCACGUCUUGACGGUACCUAAUCAGAAAGCCACGGCUAACUACGUGC